rnacentral:rRNA from 1 species
CCUGAGAAACCCAAAAGUUCGAAUGGAGAGAUUCAUCGUCAGCGAUCCUGGCAAUUGUGCGGUUCGCGAUGUCGGGGACUUCGGUCUCGCGGCACGCGUCCGUAUGAUUUAUUUGCCGGGUGUCGUCGUCGUGCACUUCUCCCCUAGUAGGACGUCGCGACCCGUUGGGUGUCGGUCUACGACCCGGGUGGGUGCCCGUCACGUGUUACGCUUUACGGCGUCAUGUGGCAGACCCCCGGUCGUCCGACCAGCUGCCCGGCGGUAUUCGCACGGUAUUGAGCCGCAAUUUGAACUGCGUCCGGCCCGCCGCAAGCGAGGCCAGUGUCUCCCGGAUGUACGGACUUAGCGCCGUCACCGGGCCUGGCCAGCUGUUGGCUGGCGGUGUCCUGGGACUGGCUCGUAAAUAAUACCGGUCGGCGACGCUACUGCUUUGGKAUU